rnacentral:rRNA from 1 species
UACGUAGGGGGCAAGCGUUGUCCGGAAUCAUUGGGCGUAAAGCGCGUGUAGGCGGCCCGAUAAGUCCGCUGUGAAAGUCCAGGGCUCAACCCUGGGAUGCCGGUGGAUACUGUCGGGCUCGAGUCCGGAAGAGGCGAGUGGAAUUCCUGGUGUAGCGGUGAAAUGCGCAGAUAUCAGGAGGAACACCGGUGGCGAAGGCGGGUCUCUGGGCCGAUACUGACGCUGAGGAGCGAAAGCUAGGGGAGCGAACGGG